UCUCCCCCAUCUCUUUUGCGACACCAUUCUUUCACUUCCCCAAAUUCUCAUAUUUGCGAUUAACCAAUAUUUGCGACACCGUUCUUUCUCUUUCUUUGCUUUUUUUGAUUAAACAAUCUUCAGUUGGAGGUGAGGAUCAGAAGAACACAUCAGAGGUUCUGAUCUAUCGAAGAGGUGAUGAUUGACUCGUUGAGAGUUUUUUUCCACCAAAUCAAAGCGUUCCUUCACUGCUUUUCGAGAAUUUGCUGAACCAAUCUCCAUCUGAUGGUGCUAUUGGGAAAAAGAGCUCAAAGUAAUGAAAAGCUUCAUAAUUUUUUGGAUAAGGUGAAGGCACAAACCCAAAGAGCUGAAGGUUGUUGAAGCUCAUUGCCAUCUAGGCUUUACCAUUACAAAGGUGGAUAUAUUCAGAGGUGAUGCAGUCUUAUGGUAGAAUUCAUUUGAUCACCUUCGGCGUCAAGGCUUUGACUGUUUGAUCUACGUAACAUGGAGAAUGGUUCAAGGUUUUCUCAUUCGCUAGAUCUUGAUUAUUGUCGUGUCAUGUCUGUUAUAAUCUCCGCAGAUCAGUACAUGGAUCACCAUCCAGCGGGUGGAACUCAAAUCGUUUGGUGGGUGAUGAAGAAGGAGAACCAGCAAGAUUACUUUGAUUGAGCAAAACCUGUAAUCAGCCCCCACUUGUGUUGCCUCGUUAGACUCUACUGCAGAUGUCUACGGUCACGGAUGAUGCUUUUGUUUAUCAGUGAUGGCUUUAACUGAUUGUCCUCUGACGUUCUUAUGUUGCCCAUAACUGAUUAAAUUUGUUUUAUGUUUCUGUUUCAUGUAUGUGCUGCUAUCAUGAUCAUAAAUUUUUUUUUUUUCAAAAAUAAGAAUCCC